rnacentral:rRNA from 1 species
UACGGAGGUUGCAAGCGUUAUCCGGAAUUACUGGGUUUAAAGGGUGUGUAGGCGGCCUAAUAAGUCAGGAGUGAAAGUUAUCCGCGUAACGGGGAAAUUGCUUUUGAUACUGUUAGGCUAGAAUAAGGAUGAGGUAGGCGGAAUGUGGCAAGUAGCGGUGAAAUGCAUAGAUAUGCCAUAGAACACCAAUUGCGAAGGCAGCUUACUGGACCUUAAUUGACGCUGAGGCACGAAAGCGUGGGGAGCGAACAGG